UUCAGGUUACAUGAUUCCGUCCUACGUGGGGAAUUCUUAAUUGGAUGUACCUAAUGCUUUGCAAUUCAGGAAGUGACAAUCCUUCAGCCCCCCAGAAUCACGAUGGUUCUAAGAAAUGGAGCAAAGGAAAACAGAAGGAGAAGGUGAACAACAUGGUGCUGUUUGACCAGGCAACUUAUGACAAGCUUCUGUCCAAGGCGCCCAUGUAUAAGCUCAUCACCACGUCCAUCCUCUCCGAUCGCCUAAGGGUUAAUGGAUCACUUGCUCGGAAAGCAAUAAGAGAACUCAUGGCCGGAUUAUAUAAUAAGUUUGAGGCUUUUUUUUUUUAAUACUUUUCCUGUAUUAUUGUC